rnacentral:rRNA from 1 species
GAUUGGAUCACUCGGCUCAUGCAUCGAUGAAGAACGCAGCGAAAUGCGAUAAGUAAUGUGAAUUGCAGAAUUCAGUGAAUCAUCGAAUCUUUGAACGCACCUUGCACUCCUUGGUAUUCCGAGGAGCAUGCCUGUUUGAGUGUC